GCUUUUCUAUAUUUUUCCUAUAUCUUUUUCUUCCCAUGUCUAGUAUUGUGUGUUCCAUUAUUCGACUCCUCUAUGGGAACUGUGCAAUAUUUAGAAUAGCCAUUGAGUAGUCUUUGUGUCUCUGAAUAUUUGUUUAUCAAUGUACAGUUUAUCGACUACGAGAGCUACACGUUUCCCUUUCAAUCUAUUUUCCUUGAAGAUUGGAUACAGAACUUUGCUGCGCCGUUGUGCAAUUUCCCUUCAGGAACUGAUCAUUCGUGCCUAUUUUCGUUUCAGCAAGUCUUUUACCCAGGCUUUUAACCCUUAUUUGAUCUUUAAAGGAAGCUAAUUUGGCAAUGAUUGGGCGAUCAUAUCGCUGCCCUCUCUGUCUGAAACGGUGUACACGUUCGAGUUGGAUUGUAUCGGCAGCUUCCCGUGGGAUCUGAAGAGCUGUAAGGAGGAACUCUCUAACGACAUAUUCAGGAACUUCUCCUCCUUUCUCUUGGAUACCGAAUGGGACAUCACCAGGUCCCAGAAGGCUUCUUGAUCUGCCCUACCUCUGAAGCUGCUGGAGAUGGCCACUUCACAACUGGAACCUACCCCACGCCUCUGGAGGCCCCCCUCCUCCUGCAUGCUCGGCAAGGCAGUGAAGUGUGAGGCAACCACUUCCCACACAGCCAGGACCCCCCUCCUUGGUAUUGAUGCCGUUGGCCAAAGAGUCAGCCAAGACCUUACAGAGGAACCAUCACAGCCCGGGCCCCAACUGACUAGACCAGACCAGAGCUGACCAGACCAGAGCUGACCAGACCAGAGCUGAAGACUUGGGACAUGGGACCAAGGAGAAGCAGCAGGGAUGGAGCUUAUCAAAUGAACCGUGUAGCAGAGCCGGUGAGAAGCCAGUCAUCCCUGAUAUACAGUCAAGAGGCAAAUCCAAGUGGAGACGACGACAAAGUUAAACAAACAGCUCCAUCCCCUGACCACCUCAGAUGUUUUU